rnacentral:rRNA from 1 species
UACCAGCACCCCGAGUGGUCGGGACGAUUAUUGGGCCUAAAGCAUCCGUAGCCGGUUUUGCAAGUCCUCCGUUAAAUCCAGCUGCUUAACAGAUGGGCUGCGGAGGAUACUAUAAGACUAGGAGGCAGGAGAGGCAAGCGGUACUCAGUGGGUAGGGGUAAAAUCCGUUGAUCCAUUGAAGACCACCAGUGGCGAAGGCGGCUUGCCAGAAUGCGCUCGACGGUGAGGGAUGAAAGCUGGGGGAGCAAACCGG